AAAAAAAAAACCUUGGUAAAGAAAAGAGGGCAGCAGUCCCGGCAGGGACAUUUCAGGAGAGGUGCAGCCUGUGGACAAAAGACCAAGUCACAAAGAGCUGUGGUGGACUUGGUGGCCAGUGAGAGGCCACACCCCCCGGGGACUGGUGCUGGACUGUAGGGCAUGCCCUGCUCAGGAGUCCCCGGGGGUGCUCUCUGCACCCCAAACACACAACCCUCACUCCAGAGAGCCAAGCCAUCAGUACCUGUGGCCUAGGGUGGAAAGAUGCAGCUUGGGACCUGCAGCCAUAUCUGAGGCCUGGCCACAAGGAAGGCUACAGACUCCAUCCUCUCUGUGCCUCCGUGCUCCUUCUGCCCCAGGGUUGCAGUCUGUGGUUUGGAGCCUGACAGAGACAUGGGGCCAAGGAUGUGAAUGUGGCCUGCCUGGAACUUUGAAGCAGUGACCAGUGGGACAGUGGGACCCAGUGGCUCCAGGGAGCAGCAGCAGAGGAGGUAUUGAGGCUCCAGGUUAGGUGGGUCAGGCCUCCACCAGCCAUCCACCAUGGUGGUGGCACACCCUGCUGCCACCGCUACCACCACACCUGCUGCCACUGUCACAGCCACUGUCGUGAUGACCACGGCCACCAUGGACCUGCGGGACUGGCUGUUUCUCUGCUAUGGGCUUAUUGCCUUCCUCACGGAGGUCAUCGACAGCACCACCUGCCCAUCAGUGUGCCGCUGUGACAAUGGCUUCAUCUACUGCAAUGACCGGGGGCUCACAUCCAUCCCCUCAGACAUCCCUGAUGACGCCACCACCCUCUACCUACAGAACAACCAGAUCAACAAUGCAGGCAUCCCUCAGGACCUCAAGACCAAGGUCAAGGUGCAGGUCAUCUACCUAUAUGAGAAUGACCUGGAUGAGUUCCCUAUCAAUCUCCCCCGCUCCCUGCGAGAGCUGCAUCUGCAGGACAACAAUGUGCGCACCAUCGCCAGGGACUCCUUGGCCCGCAUCCCGCUGCUGGAGAAGCUGCACCUGGAUGACAACUCCGUGUCCACCGUGAGCAUCGAGGAGGACGCUUUCGCUGACAGCAAGCAGCUCAAGCUGCUUUUCCUGAGCCGCAACCACCUGAGCAGCAUCCCAUCGGGGCUGCCGCACACCCUGGAGGAGCUGAGGCUCGACGACAACCGCAUUUCUACCAUCCCCCUGCACGCAUUCAAGGGGCUCAACAGCCUGCGGCGCCUCGUUCUGGAUGGCAACUUGCUGGCCAACCAGCGCAUCGCUGAUGACACCUUCAGCCGCCUGCAGAACCUCACAGAGCUGUCGCUAGUACGCAACUCGCUGGCCGCCCCGCCCCUUAACCUGCCCAGUGCCCACCUACAGAAGCUCUACCUGCAGGACAAUGCCAUCAGUCACAUUCCCUACAACACACUCGCCAAGAUGCGGGAGCUGGAGAGGCUGGACCUGUCCAACAACAACCUCACCACGCUGCCUCGAGGCCUGUUUGACGACCUGGGGAACCUGGCACAGCUGCUCCUCAGGAACAACCCCUGGUUCUGUGGCUGUAACCUCAUGUGGCUGCGGGACUGGGUGAAGGCACGGGCCGCAGUGGUCAAUGUGCGGGGCCUCAUGUGCCAGGGCCCUGAGAAGGUCCGGGGCAUGGCCAUCAAAGAUAUCACCAGUGAGAUGGACGAGUGCUUUGAGGCAGGGUCGCAGGGCAGUGCAGCUAAUGCAGCUGCCAAGACCACAGCCAGCAACCAUGCCUCUGCCACCACACCCCAGGGCUCUCUGUUCACCCUCAAGGCCAAGAGGCCAGGACUGCGCCUUCCUGACUCCAACAUUGACUACCCCAUGGCCACUGGAGAUGGCGCCAAGACAUUGGUCAUCCAGGUGAAGCCACUGACAGCAGACUCUAUCCGAAUCACGUGGAAGGCUAUGCUACCUGCCUCUUCUUUUCGGCUCAGUUGGCUGCGCCUGGGCCAUAGCCCGGCUGUGGGCUCUAUCACAGAGACACUGGUGCAGGGGGACAAGACAGAAUACUUGCUGACAGCCCUGGAGCCCAAGUCCACCUACAUCAUCUGUAUGGUCACCAUGGAGACUGGCAACACCUAUGUGGCUGAUGAGACACCUGUGUGCGCCAAAGCAGAGACAGCUGAUAGCUAUGGCCCUACCACCACACUCAAUCAGGAACAGAAUGCUGGCCCUAUGGCGGGGCUGCCCCUGGCUGGCAUUAUUGGUGGUGCCGUGGCUCUCGUAUUUCUCUUCCUGGUCCUGGGAGCCAUUUGCUGGUAUGUGCACCGGGCCGGUGAGCUGCUGACCCGAGAGAGGGUCUACAACAGGGGCAGCAGGAAAAAGGAUGACUACAUGGAAUCGGGGACCAAGAAGGAUAACUCCAUCCUAGAAAUCCGAGGCCCAGGACUGCAGAUGCUCCCCAUCAACCCGUACCGCUCCAAAGAGGAGUACGUGGUACACACCAUAUUUCCCUCCAAUGGCAGCAGCCUCUGCAAGGGCGCCCACACUAUUGGCUAUGGCACCACACGAGGCUACCGGGAAGGUGGCAUCCCUGAUGUGGACUACUCCUACACAUGAAGCUGGCCGCCCCCGGUGUGGUCACGUGGCUCUGUCUAGCCCACUGCUACAUCAGGAGCCAGGAAGGGAAACUCCACCGUGACUUUCCAAGCAGAAAGCAAAGUUUGGGGAGGGUUGGUGAUUUUGCAGAACACAACAGUGCGGUUUAAAAAAAAUUAAAUACAUAGAAGGCAGGAGGGGGAUUCAGCAUUGUUGGAGAUGUAAUUUAUACCAGAUCAUGAGAGUUAAAGACUAAAAAUAAUCUUGCAGGAAAGGUUGGGUUGGAUUGGGAUUGUUUUUCCUGAACCAGAUUGAUACUAUACUACCUGUACAACAUUUGUAUACACCUCGAGCUCCGUUCAGGGCUGUCAGAGAGGAGCAGGAGACAAACACGUGUGACGCCACGGAGCGCCCCCUCCCCCAAGCAGCCGUCCUUCUGGCUGCUCACGGGUGACAACUCAAUGAAAGGUUUUCAGGUUCCUCACAAAAGAGCCAGGGGAGGAAAAGACUUUUUGCUAUGGAGACAGUGUCCUGAAAUCUCUUCCCUGGUCUUUCCCAUGCUGUUCCUUUCCAGAUAUAUGGCGUUCUCCGGGAUACUCUCUCAACAAUACCUUAGUCAGUUAAAAGAGAAAAAGUCCAGCUUUUCCUUCCGAUGCUGAGCACUGCGGCCCCGCUCACCGAGCUUCUUAGAAGCUCUGAGGAAAGCUGUAGUUUCCCUGCCAUGUGGAGGUGCAUCUGUCUGCCCACCUAUGGCCGCGUCCUGUGUCUCAGUACGGAUGGGUAGAUAGAGCUGCGUGUCUGUCAGCACUUCUUGGCUCAGUCCGUGACAUUUCCUCAGACAAUAGAAUUGCAAAAAUCUUGCUUUCUCCUAGAAAUCAUUGAAUAAGUAAGUAGACCGUGUGUAGGUGGAGGGGAGGUGCCUCAGUCCAGUGGUAGGAGAUCCUAUGUCGGCUAGCACAGAGCCAGGCCAGGCCACUCCCCUCUGAUAUCGAGAAAAGCUUCCCUUGAUGACCAGUGCCCUCAUCUGUCCCUCCCCCAAUAGAUGUCAUGCCUACAAUAGUGUUUACUCUUUCUCCUGGGACAGGUAAUUUAUAAACAGGGACUCUUUAUAAAUAUAUGUGUGCACACACACAUCAGCUGACUAGACCUAUUGGGUUUCCAUGGCUGCCCAAACAAAGCCCAGAAAAAAAUUUCAGAAAAUCGCUGGGAAACAUCAGCGUAUACACACACACACACACACACACACACACACACACACACACACAGAAUCUCAGCCAUGCUCACACCAGGGGCUCUGUUCUCAAGAGGAAAAAAUCAGACUUCUUUGUUAAAAAAAAAAAAAAUCAGCCUCCAAAAGGGUACUGACCAGGGCCCUCAAAAGAGCUAGGAUUUUAUUCCCUCCCUGUGGAAUCAAUGUCGUUAUCAUUUAUCAACUGACACCACAGUGUGGUGAACCAUGAGAUUAAAACGAUGAUAAAAUAAUGACAGCAGAUCCGGAAAGGAGGGAAGAGCGGUGCCUGGGGUUCUGAUGUCUGCUUCGUCCUGUACUCGGGGACCCGGGUCACCAUCUGUCAGUGCAUCGCUUUGCCUUGCACUGGGGGAAAAAAAAAAUCAUCAAAGGGAAGACGCUGGUCUGAGGGCAGCUGGAUGAGAAGGGGUCCAGCUCCUGACACUGAUGUUUUCAAAAGACCUCUGCCACUCCAUCCAAAGCAAAGGCAGAAAGAAGAGGCCAGGCAGCUGCCCAAAGUGUACCUGGUGGGGCAUCCACCUGCUGGACAUUAAAGCGCCAACUAGCCCUUCCGUGAAGAGAUGAGAUAGAAAGAAACAGACCCGGCAGGCGCCUCAGAAGAGUGGAAAGAGGCAUGAGCUCCUGAUCAUAGCCCAAGGGAUCAUCACACCAAACGGAGACCCCAACCCACCAGCCCCAGGGAGUGGUCAAGGGGCCAUGGAUCACUCCAAAGGAGACCUUUCUUCCUCUUCAUCCCAAGUCAUUUUCCCCACAUAAUGAGGUCAAGAGAGAAAUGUUCCUGAGCCUCAAAUUCAGGGUCAAUCUGCCUUGAGAGAUGGCAAGCCACAUCUGGAUCAGAGGAAGCAGCCUGUGCCAUCAUUUGGAGAGUAAGACUCCAGAGACACAAGACUUCCCGUAUCCUUAUGCUGGGGACCUGCUGCUCCCUGGGGCCAGAGAAAGAGUGAGGUCAGCUGUAAAGGGAAAACUAAAGAUCAGGAGAGAGAAGCUUGGGCCCAGCAAAGCAAGACCUUUGCAUCCUAGCGUUACCUGAGGACGUGACCGAUAGCUCUCCAGCCUGAGCUGAGGUCUAGGUCUUAGUCUAGAAGAUUCUGGUUCCCACACUUGCUUUAAUCACAACCUCCAGGACAGGAUGUACAAAGACAUCCUUCCCCAGUCUGUGCUCAGCAGGUACUGAGGGAUACUGACAGGACACAUGCUGGGCUCAGUACCGCACGCCCCAGGAUGUCCCUGGACCUGUUCCCUCAAGCCCGGAUGCCUCACACCCAGGAGUAACCAGCAGUUUCAACACUGCCAGCCAGCCAUCCCAGCCAGCUGAUGGUGCCCGGGGCUCUGUUGGGAUGCUCACCAUUUUUUAAGCAUUUACGGAUUCUUUUGAAGUGUCCCGAUCAUUUGUGUGAAAUAUCCGUAUUGGCUUCUUUAAAAACAACUGACAAAAAGGCUCCCUUUCUCUCUUCCCGCCUUUCAUUUUUCUUCUUUUUCUCACCCAACCCCACCCCUGAUGAUUUGAGUCUGGCACUGGACUUCUGAUACUCCCAUGCUACCUCCUUUGAUUUUUUUUUCUUUGAAGACAGGGUCUCACAUAGCCCAGGUUGGCUACGAACCCAUUAUGUAGCUGAGAAUACCAUAAAUUUCUGAUCCUCCUGUCUCUACCUCUCUCAGAUUUUAAUGUAUGUUUUUCCCCUGAUUCUGGGGAUUCCAUUGUCCCGGGGGCUACUCCAACCCCCCCAUCACACGGGGCUGCAGAGUGUGCCACACAGGGGAGGGCAUCAGCUCUCUGCAUAUCUCUCCUGACCUUUGUGCAGACAACUCUCUAGCCUGGGCCUGCUCCUGCUUCUGGAAGCCACCCUGGGCUCUCUGAAACCACUAUCAGGACUCCUUGCUGCUGAAUUGUCCGCUUGUGCCAGGAGGGAAUUGUGGGUAUGUGGUGGGCAGUGUGCCCAGCGGGCGGGUGGCUCAGCCCCCGCUUCACACAGUCCCACUCCCAGGACACUGCCGCCAUCACAGUCAACUCAGCAGCUGUUUGGUUUCCCUGCCCACACACCUGGGGACUGAGGACAGCAGGGGACUUGGAACACCUUACCACUUCCUCUUCCCACCUGCCAUCUGUCCACUCCUGGGAAAGACCUGAGGACUGGCAGUGAGGGGCCUUCUGUCCUGCACCUGUCUGGUGGCCUGGCCAGGAGAGGGGCUCACCUGAGAAAUUCCUCCCAGAAGCCGCCCACCCCGCUUUGCCUUGGGAUUGGUGUAUCUCCAGCAGAUGGGAAAUGAAGAUUCAUCAAGAUCUGGCAGCCCCCCAAGCUGAAUGGGUGACUCAGUUUCCCUUCUCCAGGAUUUGCAUCAAGUGGGUGAGGGGGGUUGGCAGAAAACUAGAGAGACCUGGAGGGUGGUAUAAGACACAAGAUCCAAGGCAACAGCCUGCCACCCCUGCAGAGUCCCCGCACCCCAGCCACCCGCCUGGAGGAACUAAUCAGACUUUCUCUUCAAGACAGAAAAACAAGCACGACAUGAACCGACAAUCAAAGCCGCAGCAGGCUCUGAGCUGCUGCUGCUCAUUCCCCCAGGGGCCCAUGGUUCCAAACAGCUCUCAACCUGCCUUGGGUGGAAGGCGAGGUAGCAGGUCCCCACCCCUACCCGCCCUGUGACCAGUCCCAUCUCUGAAGGUUCUGGGUACAACGUGGGUAAGCCCUACACACAAAACCCCAAAGUAGCCUUAGGUAUUUUCCCCCAGCCCAGCAUGGCCACCUGAGGAUGGCUUUAACCAAUAAGCCUCUUGGGUAUCUAGGGUAUAGUGUAAAAGUGAGGUCCCAGUGUCCUCCAGCCCCUCCAGUGAGGCUGAGGGUUGUGAGGAGGAAACCACAGGCCCAGUAUAGGAGGCUUGUCAUCUGAGAGAGAAGGGGAGAGAUGGUACUGGAGGCUGGGAGUCAACCAAUCAGGCUCUGGAGACCUGUGCUUGUGCUGGCUAGUACCACCAGCAGGUGUGAGCAAGGACGGCAGAGACAGGUCACCUCAAAGGACCCCUAUUCCCACGAAAGGACCGCAGAGUGGAGAUUUUGGCAGAACCGACCUCCCAGUGUGCAAAGAAUGCUUGUUGGUAUUGCCAAGCAAGUGAGGACAGGUAUGGGAGGUGUAGCCUGGUCCCCAGUUCUGGGGUGGGCCAUGGCCAACCUCUGGGGAAUGGACAGGCACUUUGCUAAAGGUGGGGUGCCUGCCCAGCCAAGGUAAUGAGGCAGGCCCUGAACUACCAAUGUUCCAAGCCCCUGCUCUGCUUCAGCCAAACCAGAACCCUGGAGCUCCUUGGAUGCUCGUCCCUCUCUUUUCUUUUUGGGCGACUCAGAACAGUGUGGGGGAGGGGUCUGAGUGCUAGGACCCCCCUCCCCCACUUUGGGCAGCAGCUGCAGCUGGGAACUGGCAGGCAGAGGAGGCCCUGCUCCCCGGAAGGCCUGGCUAUGCCCAGCCUCAUGGCCCACCUGCUUCACUCCGACUCUACCACUACACGAGGGUUUUUCAGAAAAUGGCGACACGAACACCCCCCCACCACGACAACAACACAAACCAAAGUGCACUCCGAACCGCCCUUUGGCCUCCUUCAAUGUAGGUGCCUUGAAACUUCAAUGUUGAGAUGAAUGUGACUAAUUACUUGGUCCUAUUUUCUGUUUGUCUGUUUCAUAUAAAAUGUCCAAGUCCACCUGCCUUGUCCUUUCUUGAAAUAAAUAGAAAGAUUUAACUUUUA